CACCGAACCAUAACGCUUCAUCAUGCCGGAGUUGGCAAGGUCCUGACGUGAGGCUGUGUACUCUGGUAUGUUGAGAAUGGAACCCUGUGUAAACUCUUACCUGAUACAGAAUAUCCGGCCGAUACAUGGUGCCACUGCCCCAGUUCUCUUGCGGUGGCGUCAACUGAUCUAAAUGUGGCUGACUGCGAUGGCGCACCAUAUCCGUGCUGCUGGUGCUUUGAGCGAUUGUUGGGCAUGCUAUCUUGCCAUUGGCGCAAUUGUUCACAGCCUGAUUGUUCUAGAGUCGCAUAUGUAUGGGGAGAGCAGAGUUAGUUUCUAGCCACAAUAAGUGAAUUAUAAACAAAAAGAAAAAUAACAAACGUCAAGAGAGGAUAUAGAGAAAACACAACAAUCACAUAGGUAAAGGGUGGGGAGUGUUAGCAUUUGGGUAAAGAUUAAAAGAGAUAUUUGCGUACUAGACCCCCUUAAGGGUGCAAGCUUUGCUUGUGGGUGAGGAAUUCAUAAAAAUAUCACAGCGUGCUUGGAUUGCGUGCAGAUAUAAAGAGAGGUUAUACAAAUAUGUAUAUUUAAAUUAUUUGUAGCGAGCGUGCUGGAUGGGGCACAUACAUUUGUAUAUAACAGGAGUGCAGUAAGGUCUGUUUCAAUUGUUUGGGAAUCAGCGUUAAGUGUUGGGAACGAACUACAUUUUACUUGCGCUAACAGCAUGGUCAAGUCGAGCGAGAGCAUCCGGCAACGCGCCAAAGAGGGACGCAGCUGUCGUAACUGUGUGUAUAUGUGGUUAUGUUGUUGUUGUGGGUUGGAGACGCGCGCGCACACCGCAAACGACGAGAAUAGAAUAGAAACCAAUUAGAAUAAUAUGCAGAGAAAAUUUUCUUAAAAAUAAACUAGUCCGUAAAAUCAGAAGUUAAAAAAUAUUUCUGACUCCCUCACACACACUUACAUUGUUGCUAUUGAAGCCAUGUCCCACGCUGUUCGAGCGACACAAAGCCGCGUCAGCGCGUUGCGGCAACUGUAAAUAUUGAUCACCCUCAGUCGUGCCAGGUUUGAGUGGCUUCAGUUCAGCAGUCGUUGUAUUAUUGUCAAUAAUAUCGCUUUUUUGCGCUUUAGAUGGUUUUGGCGCCUCCAAAGGUCGGAAGAGCGCUCCGAAUAUUAUACAAUUCAGUACAAUGCCGCCAAUGAUAAGCAUAGCGCCACGCCAACCAAACGAACCGAUCAGAUAUUCGGUGAGCGGCGCAAAUACGAAUGUGCCGAAACCGGAACCACACACAGCAAUGCCGGUGGCAAGCGAACGUCUCGCCUCAAACCACGUUGUCACACUUACAAUGGCUGGCAGAUAGAUGAGACCCAGUCCAAAACCUGUGCCAAUACCAAUUGUAAAGAUGAGUGUGAGCACAUUCUGCGCGAAGAAACUGGCCACAAUGCAGGCGGAGGCAAAUAUAGCACCGGCUAUAGUGACCGCUCGACAACCGUAGCGAUUGACAAACGACGACGAGAUGGGACCUGUGAUUCAAGGAAGCAUAUAUAUAGAAUUUCUUCUAAUUUUUAAAAAGCUCGAUAAAACAGUACUCACCUGAAGCGUAGGUAACGCCUACCAUAAUGGACACAAUCCAGGCCGUAUAGCCUGAACCUUCAUUGAAGUAGGUCAGAAACUCAUCAUAGAAGAGACCAAACGAGUACGUCAUGCCAUCGGCUGUAAAACAA